UGUCGAGCAAGCGGUGCAGGAAAGAGAACGGAUAGGCCGGUAUCCGAGCCGGCCUUGACCGUAUCUCCGCUUAUCGCCGCGUUCGCGCUCCAUAGUCGACGUCACGCGUCGCGUUGUCGACGCCGAGAUUCCUCGCGCAGUGUACCCCAACGAUUCAAUCUGGGACAGAGUCGUCGAUACCCGAAUAGCUGAAUUUAUUUGCGAGACUUUUCGAAACUCUGCUGAAUUUUAUCGAGAAAUAUCGAAAACUACCGGGGUAACGUUCAACAAAUGAUUUCGAUGCUGCAUCGAAAUUGAUACACUUAUUCGUUACGGUAAUACGCAUCGCCAGCUAAUAAAAGGAAUUACGUAAUUUGCGUAAUCGAUAUAAUUAUCGCGAAAUUAAUUCGAGCGAUCGCCGACGUGGAAAUUCGUGCCCGCGGACCAAAGUUAAUAGGGCCGACAUCGAGACGCAUCCUACAAACGAUUUCCAUUACCGAUGCAUCGCGAAGAAAAUUUUACCCCCGUUCGUUCGAGACGGUACAACGGUCUUCGCCGGUCGCUGCGAUCCGCGAGUCCAAGGUACGCUGACACGGAGUAACGCGUGCAUAAACACCGGUAACGAACCGACGUUCACUCCGGGAUUCUGGUAUCUCAGCCGAGGAGGAUCGGACAAGAAGGCAUCGUCGUCGUCGUCGAGCUGGCAUCGUUCGGUGAACGAGCAACAAUCGUUGCGCCUUUUUGUUCGUACGUGCGUCGUCGUCGGCUGGUUACAAUUUCACAAUAAGUGGGGGAACUCGCAGUCUUUUGCCAUCCUCGGAUUAACACCGUUUAACCCUACGUGAAGGAGCCAUCUUGAAGAAGCUUAAAGAGCCUACCGUUGACACUGCCAGAAAUCAUUCCGAGACGAUUACCGGCAAGUUGCAGUUUGUACCGUUCGAGGCUUCGGGGUGUAAGCUGCGGCCUUUCACCAGCAUCGGAGCCUAGCUCGCGAAGAGACGUCGGCACCCCAACCAGUUCGACGAUUAGCCUUCGCCGCGCGGCCCUGUCUCGCUCUUCAGCAACUAUAACUCGUCGGCACUAAUUUGGUAGCGCCCCCUGUCUCGCGCCCUCUUCGUCGCGAGCAGCGAUCGCGGUGCACCCGUCGAGGGUGUUACGGGCCUCUCUGCGUCUUCCAUUACCUCGGCGUCGAAACGGCUCUAAAUUACAGUCUCGAAACCGAAGAAGAGUUACGCCGCCAGGAAACUAGGGAGGGAACACGCUGGAAAAAAUGCUCGAACCUCUUUUCGUGCAUUCGACGAACCUGUUUACGCUCCGACCGACUUGCAUCUACGUGGAAAUUGGUCCACCUUCGACUGGCGCGAAUCUAUUGGGUUGUCUGGAAAGUCCGUGUCGAUUUUUGGUAGGUGGUUACCGGUCUGAAUAUAUCGGAAGGAUUGAAGACAAAUAAUAUGGUACGAAUCCCUUAAAAGAUGGAAAGGGUGUGACACAAGGUGGUACCUAUGCAAUUCGCUAAAUAUACAGUCGGUCACAUAAAUAUUCGUACCCUCUAUGUCUAUUGAAGAAAUUUGUUUAAAUUAAAUGGUAGGUUUGAUAUUUCCAAGCUUAUGUUUGUAUAAGUAUGUUGAUGUACAUAUAAAUACACCCUCGUUCAUAAAUAUGUGGUUCAACUUUUGUUUCUAGAUUUUAUAUUGAAUGAGUAUUCAACAACAUUUAAUAAUAUCGUACAUGUAAGGUUAUACACAUAUACAUAUUUAUUAUGAAACAUUCAUUUGGUAAUAUCGGAACUGUUAUAUGCAUAUAAUUCAAACUUCUUCGAUAGACGGAGAGUACGAAUAUUCAUGGGAUUGACUGUAUACUACAAAAUUUGAACGUGCCGUUGAGUUUUUCUUAAAAAUUGGUACAAACUUUCUGGACAACCCAGUAGAAUAAUUUUCGUCGUGGAACGUAUCAACGAUACAGAGAUAGAACUUUCCGAACGACGUCGAUGCUUCGAAACAGCAUAUAUUCUAUACAGCAUAUAUUCGAAACAGCAUAUAUAACGCGCGUUAUUGUAAACAUAAAGAAUUUCGCGGACGGCAGAGGUCUCGUGGGGUAGGGGUGCGUGUUCGAUAACGUCGAACGCCAUUCAGUCGGUUCUCGAAGAUUCAUUGGAAAGGGUCGGAAACCCCGCAACAUCGGAGCCAGCGAGCGACAGAGAGAGGAAGCACCUCGCAUUCAGCGGGCCCCGUCGGCGUUACCUGCGCGAAUCUCCGCGUAGAGUGCGGAUGACACUAACCAUCGUUGCUGGCGCCAGGGCCAUCGCAUUCGACACCGGAAAUGGAGACGACUGGACAGUGGAGUUCCUCUUGCGCGACGGGCACGCAUAGGAUUCCGGGACGCUCCUCUCGUUAUCGCCCACCGUAACAGUCGAUCGAGCCAGUUACCUUCGAGCCGGCCUUGCGUCGUUGCCUCCUCCGACGACACCUGCGAGGAACAUCGUAAACGAACCCCCGAAGAGACAAUUCCCUCGAAAAUAUAACGCCACCUCGUCAACCCCGAUAGUAUACCACGUACUUUUCUCUUCCCGUCCCUCUGUUUAAAACCGUGAUUAGACCAAUUUAUUCUCAAAUGCGUACAAGAAGAAAGCAGUGGUUCGUCGUUCCCUUCGCUGCUCGUCACCGCGCGUAUUUUCCAAGGAUUGAAAACCCGAGAGCCGGGCAUCGACGCGUUACGCUCGGAACGGCUCGCAAACCGACACGGUUCGUUUCCACGAUAUUCGUGUUACUGUCAAAACACCGUUCGUUACGUCCGUUCCGUGUUAUAAUCGAAGUAUACGGGUGCAUGUGGGCGCAACGAUAAAGCAAAAUAUUUACCGAGAGCUCGCCGCUGGAAGAGCUAAUUAAAUAGACCACGAUUUACGGGAGAGCCUUGCUAUUUUCGCGUCGUUUUUCGCGACGCAUAAAAUCGACCGGUGUCGAAGCGCGGCGACGCAUCGCGGCGGAACACUUUUCGUUUAAUUAAAUCGUAUAACGGGCCCCCGAGACGCGUAAAAAUACAUCACGCCCGUUAUUCCCCCCUCCGCUUCUGUCGCGCGUCUUUCAAAAUAGCGCCGCGUCGUAGCUUCUAAUCUGUUAUCGGGCGUAAUUUAUUUUUAACGUCGGCUCGACGUUGCAGCGCGACGAUGAAAAUCGGUUGGCUCGUUGGUAGUUUUAUUCGUGCGAUAUUCAGAUUAGUCGUGUUCGCUACACAUUGAAAACAUGGGCUUGGAAAUUAUUCGACAUUUUCGCAACAUUUUGCCGAAACUCGACAUUGGAUGGACAUUGGACUCGGGGAUGACAAUGAUAAUCUGUGCGAAGAAUCAUAGCGGUCACCUUUUUCGUUCUUCGUUACAUUGGUAGUUGGACUGCCUGAAUUAUGCGAACAACUGUCACCGUUGACAGUUGAAAUGACCGGUGUCAUUGUCCAGUGUGGUAAGCAUGAGUCCUACGCAUGAAUUAUAUCCGUAACUUUUUUAUCCAUUGAAUAAACAGUCCGUGCGUCCAACUGAAAAUAUAUCGUUGUUUUUAUUUUUUUUUGUUCGGCAAUCAUACUAUAUAUAAAAUAAGUUACCACAAAUAUAUGUUUUUCAAAAUAACCAUAUUAGAACAUUUGUAAGAAAUUUUUCAUUAAACAAAAUAUCAUAAUUGCAGCUUCCAGCGAAGUAUAGCUCCCUAGCUACUUAUUUUCGUCCGCGGCAAAAGUGUUAACUGUGACCUCGUGUCAUAUUACACAAUCCCGAAACCUUGUUCCGGCAACAAAUUAUAAUCAAAUUUGAGUGAAUCGAUACACGAAGGUGUCGGUUCAUUUGGAUAAAAAUGACGACAACGAUGACGAACCUUUGCUACCCAAGCUAUCUCCUCUGUGUUACAUCCUAUGUAACGUGGUAAUAAUGUCCACGAUGCGCACCUUCAAGGUCUCUUCGUCCCAAAGUAGAAGUAGCAUUUUCCUUAGGCCCUAUAGUGUUACCUACACGUCAGUGACUAUCGGAUACGAAAUCGACGCGACGCUCGCCGAGUCUGUUGAACGUUGUUGGUUAAAAAUUGCCCAACUAUCCCCAAUACACCGUGCACACGAUAAAAUUGCAUCGACCGCCCAAUCGUUGGCCGGAAGAUAGGCGUGGACGUCGCGAAAAAAGCUGGCAGCCCAUGCGUGGAAAAUUGUCCGAGUGGAAUUGUCUCUCCGCUCGUGGCGAGGGAGGGAAACGGGUCGGGAAGGAGAGGGAAGUUGAAGGGAAAGAGAAACAAGCAACGAACAUGACAAACAGACUGACGUGUACUCGCUGAAAGCAUGAAAGGAUAAACGAAUAAAACUAGUAUAUUAAGGACGAUAAAUCUGUUUUUCUUCUCGUUUUUCCCCCUCAUCGAGUAAUUAAAAGUGCUCGUCCAACGGGGAUUAAACGCAAACCGUACGAAGUCCUGCAACGCCGUUGAUAGAAAAACGUCGGCUUUGUUUCGCUAAAAUGGUAAUUAAACCGUAGCGGGGACAAACGAAGCGGCCGGAACGUCGGACAAUGCUAUUUUGGCGCGUACCCCGGGAAAGAACUUGAAAACGCAACAUUACUCGUGUAAUGUACCCGGUGCCGUCCCGUACGGUUAAAUAGUUCCCGCUAAAGCAAAUAUCUUCGUUCGAAUCAAAGCUGCGCGUCCUCUGAGCCCCGCUCCAUUCGGACAUCGCGUCCGUUGGACCUUGCUCCGAGACCACUAUGCAACGGAUGGUCGUGGCAGAGUAAAACGAUGAGAUGACGGAUUAAAAUUCGUAUUUUUUAGAAAUUAUUGCUAGUUCGAAAUAAAACAAAUAAACGGUUCGAGCAACUGUGGUUAGUAGCAGCCUCGGUCGGAAUAAUCCUUUUCUGGGCUCUCGAUAGUCGUCGACAGGUCGCAGAUCUUUUUCCUAGUUAGCACUUAGCGCCGGUGAAAAUCUGCUCUGCGCAUUAUGUAGAACGCUGUACACCUGUUGUGCCAGUAUUCCUCCGAGGACGGACGGGGAUCCACUCGACGAGCUAAGUAAGCACAACAUUCCUGCCGCGCUUCUUGGGGUAACGAAAGCGCGGCGGAAACGCGGAAUGCCAGCCAAGUAGCUGGGAUAGAACGGGACCGAUUCGGCUGGAAAGUUACGGGGUUGCAUCAAAUUACGACGAUAAUUACGCGUAUUAAAAUUCAUUGCCCGUCGGAGCACAUUUUCUACAAUUUGCACGAGUUCCCUUCGGUGCCGUUUGUUUUUCCACGGUCUCCCAACGAAAUUGAUUCCGCCGUAAGUGCGCGCUCGCAACUGCACGGAACGAUUAGAGUCAACCAUAGUUCCGACUCUGGUAUCAAGAUCUCGACGAUAGCGUUAGCGCAAUUGUUAACCCUGAGAUCCCCACCGAGGAUACAAACCCAGCGCAAAUUGCAUUGUAUUUAUUUAUCUAUUUGAUACCGGACGCUUCCAUUUAAGACCUAUCUAUACGGAAUACGCAUCUAGAUAUACAACCAUUACGAGAUGAUCAACAGUACGAAAUACAGUUUAAAAGUAGAACAAUAAAAGCGAUCGACGAUGUCGACGGUGUACGCGGCGACGUAGUCGACGAGAACAUGCGAGGGACGACGAUGGGCCGAUCGAGGCCAAAAACAAAAGGUGGUGACUCCAACGGUCGUCACUAGAGAUGGCGUGAACUGCUACUUUUGAAUCACUCGUGAUUCAAUCACGUUCAUUCUCAAUCACGAUGAUUUUUCGCAGUGAUUUGUGAUUCUUCGUGAUCGCUUCUCUGAUUGGUACAGAACAUUCUUUUCACUUUUUACGAAUUAUUUUGUUCUUAGAUUAUAUAUGUAUUAUAAUAUGGUCUGAAAGCAAUGUUAAUAUAAUUUUAAUACAAUUUAAAUUUGACUCAUUUGCAACUUCUUGAAUUUCCGCUAAGGAGAGACAGCGAAACACUAACGAUAACAAUUAUCAUAAACCGCUUCCGAAACGCCAUCUUACGGAUCACGGUCGUGAUCGAAGUUUAAUCACGACUGCGCUCGUGAUCGUGUGAUCACCGUGAAAUAUCACUCUUAGUGAUUUUUCACGCCAUCCCUAGUCGUCACCA